rnacentral:rRNA from 1 species
UACGGAGGGUGCAAGCGUUAAUCGGAAUUACUGGGCGUAAAGCGUGCGUAGGUGGUUCGUUAAGUCCGUUGUGAAAGCCCCGAGCUCAACUUGGGAAUUGCAGUGGAUACUGGCGAGCUGGAGUGCGGUAGAGGAAGGUGGAAUUCCCGGUGUAGCGGUGAAAUGCGUAGAUAUCGGAAGGAACACCAGUGGCGAAAGCGGCUUCCUGGUCCAGCACCGACGUUCAGGCACGAAAGCGUGGGGAGCAAAACGG